UGGACCUUACGACGAGGAUCCUCGGUGUGAUAAUUGUCUACGCCGUGUGUAUACUUGUCGCGUGUGUUACCGCUGCUGCUUUGCAGUUGCCGUGUAGCCAUGGGCUGUUAUGGCCUAAGUUGUCACGCUUACAACCGUCCGCAAGGACAAUCAUUUUGACAUCUGACCUCAAAUCAGGUAGGACUACCCGCUGAACUUAA
rnacentral:misc_RNA from 1 species